UACGUAGGGGGCUAGCGUUGUCCGGAAUCAUUGGGCGUAAAGCGCGUGUAGGCGGUCCGGUAAGUCCGCUGUGAAAGUCGGGGGCUCAACCCUCGGAUGCCGGUGGAUACUGUCGGGCUUGAGUACGGAAGAGGCGAGUGGAAUUCCUGGUGUAGCGGUGAAAUGCGCAGAUAUCAGGAGGAACACCAAUUGCGAAGGCAGCUCGCUGGGACGUUACUGACGCUCAUGCACGAAAGCGUGGGGAGCAAACAGG
rnacentral:rRNA from 1 species